rnacentral:rRNA from 1 species
GAUGAACGCUGGCGGCGUGCCUAAUACAUGCAAGUCGAGCGAACGGACGAGAAGCUUGCUUAUCUGAUGUUAGCGGCGGACGGGUGAGUAACACGUGGAUAACCUACCUAUAAGACUGGGAUAACUUCGGGAAACCGGAGCUAAUACCGGAUAAUAUUUUGAACGGCAUGGUUCAAAAGUGAAAGACGGUCUUGCGGUCACUUAUAGAUGGAUCCGCGCUGCAUUAGCUAGUUGGUAAGGUAACGGCUUACCAAGGCAACGAUGCAUAGCCGACCUGAGAGGGUGAUCGGCCACACUGGAACUGAGACACGGUCCAGACUCCUACGGGAGGCAGCAGUAGGGAAUCUUCCGCAAUGGGCGAAAGCCUGACGGAGCAACGCCGCGUGAGUGAUGAAGGUCUUCGGAUCGUAAAACUCUGUUAUUAGGUAAGAACAUAUGUGUAAGUAACUGUGCACAUCUUGACGGUACCUAAUCAGAAAGCCACGGCUAACUACGUG